rnacentral:rRNA from 1 species
UACGAAGGGUGCAAACGUUGCUCGGAAUUAUUGGGUGUAAAGCGCACGUAGGCGGCUUGGCAAGUCGGAUGUGAAAUCCCUCGGCUCAACCAAGGAAGUGCAUCCGAAACUGCUGAGCUUGAGUACUUAAGAGGAUCGCGGAAUUCCCGGUGUAGAGGUGAAAUUCGUAGAUAUCGGGAGGAACACCAGUGGCGAAGGCGGCGAUCUGGGAAGAUACUGACGCUGAGGUGCGAAAGCGUGGGGAGCAAACAGG